rnacentral:rRNA from 1 species
GACGAACGCUGGCGGCGUGCCUAAUACAUGCAAGUAGAACGCAGUUGCGAAAGGGUGAGUAACGCGUAGGUAACUGCCUGGUAGCGGGGGCUAACUAUUGGCAACGAUAGCUAAUACCGCAUACUACCAGAUGGACCUGCGUUGUAUUAGAUAGUUGGUGCGGUAACGGCCCACCAAGGCAACGAUACAUAGCCGACCUGAGAAGGUGGUCGGCCACCCUGGGGACUGGACACGGCCCAGACUCCUACGGGAAGGAGCCGUGGGGAAACUUCAGCCAUGGGGGGAAACCUGAACGAGCAACGCCGAGGGAGUGAAGAAGGUUGUAGGGGCGUAAAGCUCUGUUGUUAAGGAAGCGGUACUUAACCAGAAAGGAACGGCUAACUACGUGCCAGCAGCCGCGGUAAUAC